rnacentral:rRNA from 1 species
ACGGAAGGCAGCAGUGAGGAAUAUUGGUCAAUGGACGGAAGUCUGAACCAGCCAUGCCGCGUGAAGGAAUAAGGCCCUAUGGGUCGUAAACUUCUUUUGUGGUGGAGCAAUAAGGUGCACGUGUGCAUCGAUGGGAGUACAUCACGAAUAAGCAUCGGCUAACUCCGUGCCAGCAGCCGCGGUAAUACGGAGGAUGCGAGCGUUAUCCGGAUUUAUUGGGUUUAAAAGGUGCGUAGGCUGUUCUUCAAGUCAGAGGUGAAAUACCGGGGCUCAACCCUGGAACUGCCUUUGAUACUGGAGGGCUUGAAUACUGUUGCCGUGGGAGGAAUGAGUAGUGUAGCGGUGAAAUGCAUAGAUAUUACUCAGAACACCGAUUGCGAAGGCAUCUCACGAAGCAGCGAUUGACGCUGAGGCACGAAAGCGUGGGGAUCAAACAGGAUUAGAUACCCUGGUA